rnacentral:misc_RNA from 1 species
GGAGAGGAUAGGGUCUUUGGCAAAGGAAUCUAAAGGGGAAGCAGCUGCGGAGGAUGGGGCGGUGGUGGAAGGAAGAGAAGAAGAGGAGGAGGAAUUUUUUAGGGUAGAGAGGCGUUGCAGAGGGGAUGCAGAAGGCGAGAGUGCAGAUCUCUGCAGUGCAGGUGAAGCCAUCUUCUUUUUUCGGUUCUUGUUAUUUUUGGCCAAUCAACUUGAACCACAAUUUUUAGUUUUGAUGCAUAGUUGUGAAAUCCGGACCGAC